GACAAAUUAUUGAGCGAGUUGGCUGCAAGUUCUGAAGUUAAUGAUAAUGGAGUCAGCUCGUUCGUCAUUGCUGUCA
rnacentral:pre_miRNA from 1 species